UACAGAGGGGGCACGCGUUCUUCGGAAUUAUUGGGCGUAACGGGCUCGUAGGCGGCUUUUCAAGUGACGGGUGAAAUCCCUCGGCUUAACCGAGGAACUGCCUGUCAGACUGGAAGGCUUGAGACCGGGAGAGGUGAGUGGAAUUCCCAGUGUAGCGGUGAAAUGCGUAGAUAUUGGGAGGAACACCAGUGGCGAAGGCGGCUCACUGGACCGGAACUGACGCUGAGGCGCGAAAGCGUGGGGAGCAAACAGG
rnacentral:rRNA from 1 species